AGAAAUUAGAUAAAUUGUGAUUAGUGAGAGUAACAGAAAAGAGAGAAAGCAGAACAGCCAAAACAGGUCCAAUCAAUGGAGUAUUGGAGUGGGUAGAUCUAUCACUUUCAUCCCACUUCUCUUCUUCUUUCCAAUUCAAACCUUCUCCUGUAGUCUUGGACCAUCAACCCGCCUCACGAGAUUAUGGUGGAAAUAUGUAGAGACGCAGAAAGACGCCGAAGAGCAACCAUUGAACGACAUCAUGAGAACUAGCAAUAUAUUCUUCAGGAGGGAUCAGGAGUGCACGAGAAAACAGGGAACACAAUCUAACAAAAUUGUUCAGGUGAAUGAUGAAGUCCUAAAUGAAGCUAAAAGAAUUUGGAUGAAGAGAAGCUUAUUGGUAAAGAUAUCGCUAUUGUAAAUAAAGAGAGUCUUGCUGAUGAAGCUAACAAAAAAGAAGCUAAGGGAUAAGAUACUUUGCUAAUUUACUGAAUUUUCUAGAUUGAUGAUAAUAUGUUUAUGCAUUAUCUAAAUUUUUUGAAUGAACAUCCUGAUUUCCUACUCAAUUCUUUAAUUAUUUUUUAUUAUUUUGGUUUGUUAAUAUUUUGUUGCUUAUUAUGAAUUUAGUAUUAAAAAAACAAAUUCUGUGAUUUUUCUAAAGGUA